rnacentral:rRNA from 1 species
UUCCGGUUGAUCCCGCCGGACCCGACUGCUAUUUGGGUGAGAAUAAGCCAUGCGAGUUGAAUGGGAUACCUAAAGUUCCCAUGGCAAACUGCUCAGUAACACAUGAUCAACUUGCCCUAUGGAGAAAAAUAACCUCGGGAAAGUAUCAUAGUGGUUAAUAAAAACUAUGAUACCCCGAUACUGAGGAUAAUGUUUCAUAGUUGAAUAGGCUUGGAAAAGUUUUUCAAUGAAAAGGAUAAAGAAAAUGGUCUUUAUUCGCCAUAGGAUAGGAUCGUGCUCGAUUAUGGUUGUUGGUGAGGUAACGGCUCACCAAGCCGAUAAUCGAUAGGGGCCGUGAGAGCGGGAGCCCCGAGAUGGGUACUGAGACAACGACCCAGGCCUUACGAGGCGCAGCAGGCGCGAAACCUCCGCAAUACACGAAAGUGUGACGGGGUUACCCAAAGUGUUCUAUUAAGAACUGUGGCAGGUGAGUAAUGUCCCCUGCUAGAAAGGAGAGGGCAAGGCUGGUGCCAGCCGCCGCGGUAAAACCAGCUCUUCAAGUGGUCGGGAUAAUUAUUGGGCUUAAAGUGUCCGUAGCCGGUUUAGUAAGUUCCUGGUAAAAUCGGGUAGCUUAACUAUCCGCACGCUAGGAAUACUGCUAUACUAGAGGGCGGGAGAGGUCUGAGGUACUACUGGGGUAGGGGUGAAAUCUUAUAAUCCUUGUAGGACCACCAGUGGCGAAGGCGUCAGACUGGAACGCGCCUGACGGUGAGGGACGAAAGCCAGGGGAGCGAACCGGAUUAGAUACGUCGGUGUUUGUAGCACGACGCUAAAAACCCGGGUAGUCCUGGCCGUAAACGAUGCAUACUAGUGAUGGCACGGCCAUGAGCCGUGUCAGUGCCGUAGGGAAACCGUUAAGUGUGCCGCCUGGAAGUACGGUCGCAAGGCUAAAACUUAAAGGAAUUGGCGGGGGAGCACCACAAGGGGUGAAGCCUGCGGUUCAAUUGGAUUCACGCCGGAAUCACUAGUGCGCCGCCUGCAGUCGACCAUAUGGGAGAGCUCCACGCGUUGGAUGCAUAGCUGAGUAUUCUAUAGUGUCACUAAAUAGCUGCGUAAUCAUGGNCAUAGCUGCUUUCCUGGGGUGAAAUUGUUAUCGCUCACCA